CCUGAUCUGGCUGCUAAACAAGCCCAUAUCAUCACCCCUCCACCACCAUGCUUGGCGGGUGGUAUGAGGUUUUUGUGCUGAAAAGCUGAAUUU